UACAGAGGGGGCAAGCGUUGUUCGGAAUUACUGGGCGUAAAGGGCGCGUAGGCGGCCUGCUAAGUCGAACGUGAAAUCCCUGGGCUCAACCCAGGAACUGCGUCCGAUACUGGUUGGCUUGAAUCCGGGAGAGGGACGUGGAAUUCCAGGUGUAGCGGUGAAAUGCGUAGAUAUCUGGAGGAACACCGGUGGCGAAGGCGACGUCCUGGACCGGCAUUGACGCUGAGGCGCGAAAGCCAGGGGAGCAAACGGGG
rnacentral:rRNA from 1 species